ACACAUGCAGUCGAGCNNGCAGCAGAGAAACUUGUUUCUCGGGUGGCGAGCGGCGGACGNGUGAGUAAUGCCUGGGAAAUUGCCCUGAUGUGGGGGAUAACCAUUGGAAACGAUGGCUAAUACCGCAUGAUAGCUUCGGCUCAAAGAGGGGGACCUUCGGGCCUCUCGCGUCAGGAUAUGCCCAGGUGGGAUUAGCUAGUUGGUGAGGUAAGGGCUCACCAAGGCGACGAUCCCUAGCUGGUCUGAGAGGAUGAUCAGCCACACUGGAACUGAGACACGGUCCAGACUCCUACGGGAGGCAGCAGUGGGGAAUAUUGCACAAUGGGCGCA
rnacentral:rRNA from 1 species